GUGGUUUAAUUCGAUGUUACACGAAGAACCUUACCAGGGUUUGACAUGCAAGUGGUAGGAAGCCGAAAGGUGACCGACCUUCGGGGAGCUUGCACAGGUGCUGCAUGGCUGUCGUCAGCUCGUGUCGUGAGAUGUUCGGUUAAGUCCGCUAACGAGCGCAACCCUCGCUGUGUGUUAUAUGUGUCACACGGGACUGCCGGUCUUAAGCCGGAGGAAGUGGGAUGAUGUCAAGUCACCAUGCCCCUUAUGUUCUGGGCUACACACGUGCUACAAUGGCCGGUACAGACGGAGGCGAAGCCGCGAGGCGGAGCAAAUCCGAAAAAGCCGGUCUCAGUUCGGAUUGCAGGCUGCAAUUCGCCUGCAUGAAGUCGGAAUCGCUAGUAAUCGCAGGUCAGCAUACUGCGGUGAAUACGUUCCCGGGCCUU
rnacentral:rRNA from 1 species